rnacentral:rRNA from 1 species
GAUGAACGCUAGCGAUAGGCCUAACACAUGCAAGUCGAGGGGUAGCACAGAGUAGCAAUACUUGGGUGACGACCGGCGCACGGGUGAGUAACCCGUAUGCAACCUACCUAUAACAGGGAGAUAACCCGGAGAAAUCCGGACUAAUACCCCAUAACACAGGGAUGCCGCAUGGCAAUAUUUGUUAAAGAUUAAUCGGUUAUAGAUGGGCAUGCGUUACAUUAGCCAGUUGGUGAGGUAACGGCUCACCAAAGCAACGAUGGAUAGGGGAACUGAGAGGUUUGUCCCCCACACUGGAAAUGAGACACGGACCAGACUCCUACGGGAGGCAGCAGUGAGGAAUAUUGGUCAAUGGGCGAGAGCCUGAACCAGCCAAAUCGCGUGAAGGAAGACUGCCCUACGGGUUGUAAACUUCUUUUAUAGGGGAAUAAAAAAGGGAACGAGUUCCCUAUUGCAUGUACCCUAUGAAUAAGCAUCGGCUAACUCCGUGCCAGCAGCCGCAGUAA